GAGGGUAUAGCUCAGUGGUAGAGCACAUGCUUAGCAUGCACCAGGUCCUGGGUUCAAUCCCGAGUACCUCCA
rnacentral:tRNA from 1 species